UACGGAGGGGACUAGCGUUGUUCGGAAUUACUGGGCGUAAAGCGCACGUAGGCGGAUUUGUAAGUCAGGGGUGAAAUCCCGGGGCUCAACCCGGAGACGCCACCCGAUACUGUCGUGACUGGAGUCCGGUAGGGGAGUGGGGAAUUCCUGGUGUAGCGGUGAAAUGCGCAGAUAUCAGGAGGAACACCGGUGGCGAAGGCGCCACUCUGGGCCGGUACUGACGCUGAGGAGCGAAAGCGUGGGUAGCAAACAGG
rnacentral:rRNA from 1 species